rnacentral:rRNA from 1 species
UACGUAGGGUGCAAGCGUUGUCCGGAAUUAUUGGGCGUAAAGGGCUCGUAGGCGGUCUGUCACGUCGGGAGUGAAAACCCAGGGCUCAACCCUGGGCCUGCUUCCGAUACGGGCAGACUAGAGGUAUGCAGGGGAGAAUGGAAUUCCUGGUGUAGCGGUGAAAUGCGCAGAUAUCAGGAGGAACACCGGUGGCGAAGGCGGUUCUCUGGGCAUUACCUGACGCUGAGGAGCGAAAGUGUGGGGAGCGAACAGG